rnacentral:rRNA from 1 species
AAGAAGGCUGGUGGCAGCGUGAAGGACCGGCACAGCAAGGUGAACGGGCGCGGUCGGCGCGUGCGUAUGCCGAUCGUGUGCGCCGCGCGCGUGUUCCAGCUCACGCGCGAGCUGGGGCUCAAGUCCGACGGCCAGACCAUCGAGUGGUUGCUCCGGCAGGCGGAGCCCUCGAUCCUCGCCGCCACGGGGACCGGCACCACCCCCGCCGCCUUCGUCUCCUCCUCCGCGCCAUCCACCUCCUCCUCCUCCUCCUUCUCGUACCCGCACACGCUCCUCGGCAAGCGCCCGCGCGAGGAGGAGAACGACGCCUUCGGCGCGGGGGCUGCAACGUCGGCGUUCUGGGCGGCACUGCAGGCGCCGCCGCGGCAGGACACGUGGGGGUUGUCGCUGCUGGAUGCGCAGGCCGCGUACAUGCCGAUGGCGCAGGUCCACCACCACCACCUCAACCUUGUCGCCGCGCUCUCCGGCGGCGCUCGGCGCACCGAGGAGGAGAGCCGGUGA